GAUGAACGCUGGCGGCGUGCUUAACACAUGCAAGUCGAACGAUGAAGCUGGAGCUUGCUCUGGUGGAUUAGUGGCGAACGGGUGAGUAACACGUGAGCAACCUGCCCCUGACUCUGGGAUAACAGCCGGAAACGGCUGCUAAUACCGGAUAUGCACCAUGAACGCAUGUUCUGUGGUGGUAAAGAUUUUUCGGUUGGGGAUGGGCUCGCGGCCUAUCAGCUUGUUGGUGAGGUAAUGGCUCACCAAGGCGUCGACGGGUAGCCGGCCUGAGAGGGUGACCGGCCACACUGGGACUGAGACACGGCCCAGACUCCUACGGGAGGCAGCAGUGGGGAAUAUUGCACAAUGGGCGAAAGCCUGAUGCAGCAACGCCGCGUGAGGGAUGACGGCCUUCGGGUUGUAAACCUCUUUUAGCAGGGAAGAAGCGAGAGUGACGGUACCUGCAGAAAAAGCGCCGGCUAACUACGUG
rnacentral:rRNA from 1 species